GCCCCUGGAGAUCAUACCUCUCCUACAGAAUCAAAGCUAGGGUUUCAAUUCUUCAUCCAAGUAGAGAGGAUCCCUCUAGUUCUUCUAGUUCUAUCUCUAGUUCAUCUAGAUCUAGUUCUAGUUCAUCUAGUUCUAGUUCUAGUUCCUCUAGUUCUAGUUCUAGUUAGUUCUAGUUGUAAUCUAGAAAAUAGGGAGAGAGAAGAGGAGAGCGGAGGAGGAGCCGGAUCUGUCGGAUCUUCCUCAACAUUGUACUUUUGCAGCAACUGGUUCGUUCUUCAUCAUUCUCUAGGUUCUUCAAUUCAUAAUUUCUGAGUUCUUUAAUUACUUUUAUUUACAUUCAAGUUAUUUAUUGGAUUCCCGCUUGCAUCAAGUGCUCUAAUCUUUGAAACAUUAGAGUAGUAAUUAAUAGAUUAGACGUGGUGUUUAGUCUUGCAAUUACCUGGAAUUGCACCCAAUCCUGCGGAUUGUUGUGGUAGCCUUAGGGUAGUGACAGCCCUAAUGGUCGAUGUAUUCCACCUCGUUCGGAUCAGUGUUUGUAGGACCGUAGUCAGACCUUCCUAGCCCCCUUCUUAUCUCUUUCUGUGGUUAGUGCUCUGAUGUCCUAAUAUAAAUAAUCUUUGAAGUAAUUCUUGAUUCUUAGAUCAACUAGAGAACUCUCAGGAAACUUCUUCUCUUUCCACCAAAAAUAAUUAUAUAGUUAUCCUUGGGCGAUCUUGAUUCUUAAUUAGUACACUCACGUUCUCUGUGGAAAAUCGAUACUCUGGAAUACUCCUAGGUGAAAGCUACAUCGGUAUCCGUGCGCUUGCGGAUUUUUCUGUUUGCGUUUAAAAUACCCAACAUUAUGCAUGUGAUUGAUGCAACCAUAACACUGGGGUGUUACACUCUUUACCUUAAUUUCCCAUGUGGCUUUUAGCUUCUCCAAAUUCUUGGGUGGUUGCAAGAUAGAACAGUUGUAACAGACUCACCAAUCAUUCAUCUUUUGAUAGACUACCAAUCCGAAGGUUUUUUUAUAAGUUUUGCAAAAUAAAUGAGUUCCUCGAAUGAUUCUCUCAAUCGCUCAAUGUGUAUGAAAUCCUUACCAAAGGCAUUAUGUGAUUGCCUUUAAACCUUACCACUAAGGCUAAGAGUGGAGUUUUGGGCAGGUAUAAAGGUGGGCGUACUUACGGCACUUGUAUUGCUGAGUCAAAACCCGGACCAUGAGGAGAUACAAAUCAUACACCUUGAUUGAGAUGUGCAAGUGUGUGGAGUAUGAGGAAUUGGUGGAAAUCCUAAUUCUAAAUAUUUUUGGUCACUCCUUUGCAUCAUGACUCUCUUUUAUUUGGAGGAUAAAAGAGAGAGGAAGAGGAAAACAUAUGGGCUCUAUCUCUUAAUAAUUUUUUUUCAUGACGGGGACUUUUGAUUUUUUCUUUCUUUCCUGUCUAUGCCUUUUUGGCUUUUCCCUUUGGAUAUUUUUUUUCAACUAUAGCCCAUAUGUCUUGAUGAAUGGAAUCAGAGAAAUUUAAAGAGAUGUCAUGAGGACAAAAAGUAAGGAGUGAAUUUGGGGAUGCGGAAAUCUCAGGAUGAGAGUUUGGCAUUUUUAUUUGGUGGAAAGCUAAGGCACAACUCUCAGAAUAAGAGUUGGCAAAAAUUUUUGGUGGAUGGAAGGUGCAUGUUGUGCGCGACUUCUCAGUGUAAGAGUCGGCUUUAUUUGGUGGGUGUAAGUGAAUCUCAAUCAUGGGUGCAUGACCAUAAUCUCACUCUAGGAUCUCAGAGAUUUGACCCGACUCAAAGUUCUGCAAGCCGCAUAUGACUAAAGGUUUUAAGAACUGAGUAACAAGUCAUCUGGCCUUGGUAGGUAUUUCAUAAUCAUUGAGGAACCCUUUGUUUUAAAUUUUUGAAAAGAAAACUCCGGAUGUCAAGUUUCUCUUAAGACAAAGUCAUAGCAAAAUCUAUUUGUACCAGAUCAUGUCUCGCAACAACUUAGAAAAGGAUCAUGCAUUCGCAACCCACAAGAUUUCAAGUUUUCAGAAUAGGACAUUUUUAGCCAACAAACUUAAAUCUUGAUCAAGACUAAGUUAUAACUUAGACAAUAAAGAAUUAUAGACAGAGCAACUAUUCAUCAUUUCAGCAGAAGAGCAACUAGCAUAUUAAAACACAUAUGAGAGAAGAUUUUUUUAUAUAUAUAAAGAAAAGAGUGC
rnacentral:lncRNA from 1 species